CUCACAUCCUUCUUUGAGGUUUUCUUUCUUUUUUUCCUUACACUUUUUUCUUUGAUUGUUUCUUUUUUUUAUUUGUUUUAAUGACUACUGUUCAGGGCAUAACUGAAACUAGUAACAGUCAAAAUGUGCCAAAGAACUUAAGUCUUGAUUUAUGAAGUAAUCAUUGGAAAAAUCAUUGACUUAUCAUAAAGGAUUUAGAUUAGUGCUGCUCAAGGGAACAUUCUGAGGCUGGGGUCAUGCUCUAUGUCUGCAUUGUCCAUUAUGGUAGUUAUUAGCUACAUGUGGCUAGUGAAUAUUUGAAAUGGGGCACAUGUAACAAAGAAACUGGAUGUUUAUAUUUUAUUAGUUUAAACUUUAUGUGGUGUUCAUAUAUAUGUUCAUAUUGUGUGAAUAUCCUAUAAUGAAUCCUGCUUAUAUAUAAUUAAUAUAUUUAUUUUAAAAGUAAGAAUAAUAGUAAUGAUAAUAGCAAUAGAAAAGAGAUCAGUAGAGAAGAGCAAGCAGAUCAUGGAGAGAGAGUUAAGAGGCAUAAGGAAGGCAGUGGGGAAUGACAUUGAUCAAAUUAUGUUGUAUGCACACACAGAUGUGGCAUAACAAAGCCCAAUAUAAGUACAAUGAACCAAUAAAAAAUUAAGUAGUUACUUGUUACUGAUAACAUCCAUAUUAGACAGAAAAUAUUUAGACCAAUAAGGGAGAAAUUUUGCCACAUUUACAAAAUAUAUGCAGACAUAGCAGUCUGUGAAAGUCAUAUAAAUGCAGGGGCAUAUGGAAUGAGAUUAAAUACUAAUGAUCAUACAAUAUAAUUGUAACAUGGAACAAAUCUUAUAAAGACCAAAAGAGUUAUGCCUUAAUCUUUUUGAUUCAAAUAACAUUUAUUGUUUGGUUUUAGUGAGGAAAAUUAUUAAUUUAAUAACUACUAGAACCAUUUUCAAAAUAAUUAUUAUCACUUAUUAAUUGUGCAAAUUAAUGGAUUUUUACUGCAACAUUUACAAACUGAAAAUAUCAUGCCUUGGUCACAUCUACCCUGCCUUCUGCCAUCUCUUUCCCUAUUUCUUUCCCUUCUUUAUCUGAUAUCCUUUCCUGUCCCUUAAAGUCUCUUCACUUGCAAGUCAUUUUAAUUUUUUUUUAAUUUUCAUAUAUGGGAGAACUUGUACAACUUGUUUUUUUCUGUGUCUUAUUUCUCUUAACAUGAUGUCUUUCACUUGGAAUAACUUUCCUCCAAGUAAUAUGAUUUUAUUUUUCUUUGUUGAUGAAUAAUAUUCUACUGCAUACAUACAAAAUAUUUUCUUUAUUCAAUUAUCUCUUAAUAGGCACAUGGGCUGAUUUCAUAUCUAACCUAUUGUCAACAAAGCCACCAUAAACAUUUAUAUGCAGGUAUCUCUUUUCUAUGCUUUUUUUUUUUUUGGUUGUAUACUCAAGAAUGGGACAUCUGGGUAAUAUGUGAGUUUUCUGUUGGAAUUUGGUAUGUUUCCCCAAAGCUCUUAAGUUGAAAACUUUGUCCUAGGGGCAGCAUUGUUCAGAGGUAGACCUUUUGGAGAGUGAUUGGAUCAUGAAAGCUGUAACCUUAUCACUGGAGUAAUCAAUUGGAUGGGUUAAUUGUUUAACUACUGGGAGGGGAUAGAAACUGUAUACAGGUAUAUGGAGGAAGGAAGUCACUGUAGGUUGUUCUUUUGCUGUUGCAUAAAUUUUAAUUUAAUGUAAUCUUCUGUCAAUUUUUCCUCAUUUCCUGAAUUUUGGAAGCCAUACUCAUGAAAUCACUUACCAUACAAAUAUCCUGAAGUGUACUUUACUAUGUUUUCUUCUAAUAGUUGCUAAGAUUCAGGUCUUACUUUAAGGCCUUUCUCCAUUUUCGGUUGAUUUUUGUACAAGGUGCAUGAUUGGAUUCUGUUUCAAUCUUCUGUAUAUGGAUAUUCAGUUUUGCCAGAACCAUUUUGUGAGUAGGCUGUCUUUUAUCCAAUGUAUGUUUUAGAAUCUUUGUAGAGAACCUGUUGUAGAUGUUGGCUUAUUUCUGAGUUCGCUGUUUUGUUUCAUUGGUCUACAAUGCCAAUAACAUGCUGUUUUGUUACUAUGACUCUGUAGUAUGUUUUCAGACCAAGUACUGUAUGCCUCCAACAUUUCCCUUCCUGAUCAUGAUUUCUUUUUCUAUUUGGGAUAUUUUGUGCUUUUAUAAAAAAUAUAUUUUAUACUUAUUUGGAAUAAGUAAUUGGUAUGCUCAUGGAGAUUGCAUUUAAUUUAUACAUUUCUUUUAGUUAUUAAUUAAUAAUAAUUCUUCCAAUCUAAGAACAUGGGGGUCUUACCACCCUCUAUUGUCCUAUGUUUCUUUUUUCAGAGUUUUGUAGUUUUAUUGUAGAUUUAUUUCACCUCCUUGGUUAAGUAAAUUCCUAGCUAUUUUAAUUGUUUGAGACUAUUGUGUCUUGGAUUUCUUUGCUCACUUCCUACUCAGAGACUUCAUUUUUAUCCUGCUACUUUGCUGAGUUUAGUUAUCAGAUCAAGAGUCUUUUGGUGCAGUGUUUAAGGUUCUCAGUGUAUAGAAUCAUAUCAUCAACAAAAAGGAAUAAUUUGACUUCUUCAUUUACUAUUUGCAUAACUUCUAAUUUUUUCUUUUCCCUAAUUGCCUGGUUUAAAAUUCUUAGUACUAAUAUGAAUAAGAGUGUGGUAAGCUUGUUUUAUUCCUGAUCAGAGAGGAAAUGUGUUCUGUUUUCCUGCACUUGGUAUGAUGUUGGCUAUGGAUUUGUCAUGUGAGAUAUGAUUCCUGUAAAUCGAAUUUACUCAGUACUUUUAUUAUGAAAACUUGUAUUUUAUCAAAGGAUUUUUUCUGAAGUUUUUGAGAUGAUCAUGUGAUUUUUAUCCAUAAUUCUAUUUGUGUACAGUAUUACAUUUAUAGAUUUGUGUUGAUUAAGAUAUACUUGAAUCCCUGAAAUGAAACCAACAUGAUCAUGGUGAUGUUGAAUUUGAUUUUCAAGUAUUUUA
rnacentral:lncRNA from 1 species